UUAAGCGACUAAGCGUACACGGUGGAUGCCCUGGCAGUCAGAGGCGAUGAAGGACGUGCUAAUCUGCGAUAAGCGUCGGUAAGGUGAUAUGAACCGUUAUAACCGGCGAUUUCCGAAUGGGGAAACCCAGUGUGAUUCGUCACACUAUCAUUAACUGAAUCCAUAGGUUAAUGAGGCGAACCGGGGGAACUGAAACAUCUAAGUACCCCGAGGAAAAGAAAUCAACCGAGAUUCCCCCAGUAGCGGCGAGCGAACGGGGAGGAGCCCAGAGCCUGAAUCAGUGUGUGUGUUAGUGGAAGCGUCUGGAAAGGCGCGCGAUACAGGGUGACAGCCCCGUACACAAAAAUGCACAUGCUGUGAGCUCGAUGAGUAGGGCGGGACACGUGGUAUCCUGUCUGAAUAUGGGGGGACCAUCCUCCAAGGCUAAAUACUCCUGACUGACCGAUAGUGAACCAGUACCGUGAGGGAAAGGCGAAAAGAACCCCGGCGAGGGGAGUGAAAAAGAACCUGAAACCGUGUACGUACAAGCAGUGGGAGCACGCUUAGGCGUGUGACUGCGUACCUUUUGUAUAAUGGGUCAGCGACUUAUAUUCUGUAGCAAGGUUAACCGAAUAGGGGAGCCGAAGGGAAACCGAGUCUUAACUGGGCGUUAAGUUGCAGGGUAUAGACCCGAAACCCGGUGAUCUAGCCAUGGGCAGGUUGAAGGUUGGGUAACACUAACUGGAGGACCGAACCGACUAAUGUUGAAAAAUUAGCGGAUGACUUGUGGCUGGGGGUGAAAGGCCAAUCAAACCGGGAGAUAGCUGGUUCUCCCCGAAAGCUAUUUAGGUAGCGCCUCGUGAAUUCAUCUCCGGGGGUAGAGCACUGUUUCGGCAAGGGGGUCAUCCCGACUUACCAACCCGAUGCAAACUGCGAAUACCGGAGAAUGUUAUCACGGGAGACACACGGCGGGUGCUAACGUCCGUCGUGAAGAGGGAAACAACCCAGACCGCCAGCUAAGGUCCCAAAGUCAUGGUUAAGUGGGAAACGAUGUGGGAAGGCCCAGACAGCCAGGAUGUUGGCUUAGAAGCAGCCAUCAUUUAAAGAAAGCGUAAUAGCUCACUGGUCGAGUCGGCCUGCGCGGAAGAUGUAACGGGGCUAAACCAUGCACCGAAGCUGCGGCAGCGACGCUUAUGCGUUGUUGGGUAGGGGAGCGUUCUGUAAGCCUGUGAAGGUGUACUGUGAGGUAUGCUGGAGGUAUCAGAAGUGCGAAUGCUGACAUAAGUAACGAUAAAGCGGGUGAAAAGCCCGCUCGCCGGAAGACCAAGGGUUCCUGUCCAACGUUAAUCGGGGCAGGGUGAGUCGACCCCUAAGGCGAGGCCGAAAGGCGUAGUCGAUGGGAAACAGGUUAAUAUUCCUGUACUUGGUGUUACUGCGAAGGGGGGACGGAGAAGGCUAUGUUGGCCGGGCGACGGUUGUCCCGGUUUAAGCGUGUAGGCUGGUUUUCCAGGCAAAUCCGGAAAAUCAAGGCUGAGGCGUGAUGACGAGGCACUACGGUGCUGAAGCAACAAAUGCCCUGCUUCCAGGAAAAGCCUCUAAGCAUCAGGUAACAUCAAAUCGUACCCCAAACCGACACAGGUGGUCAGGUAGAGAAUACCAAGGCGCUUGAGAGAACUCGGGUGAAGGAACUAGGCAAAAUGGUGCCGUAACUUCGGGAGAAGGCACGCUGAUAUGUAGGUGAAGUCCCUCGCGGAUGGAGCUGAAAUCAGUCGAAGAUACCAGCUGGCUGCAACUGUUUAUUAAAAACACAGCACUGUGCAAACACGAAAGUGGACGUAUACGGUGUGACGCCUGCCCGGUGCCGGAAGGUUAAUUGAUGGGGUCAGCGCAAGCGAAGCUCUUGAUCGAAGCCCCGGUAAACGGCGGCCGUAACUAUAACGGUCCUAAGGUAGCGAAAUUCCUUGUCGGGUAAGUUCCGACCUGCACGAAUGGCGUAAUGAUGGCCAGGCUGUCUCCACCCGAGACUCAGUGAAAUUGAACUCGCUGUGAAGAUGCAGUGUACCCGCGGCAAGACGGAAAGACCCCGUGAACCUUUACUAUAGCUUGACACUGAACAUUGAGCCUUGAUGUGUAGGAUAGGUGGGAGGCUUUGAAGUGUGGACGCCAGUCUGCAUGGAGCCGACCUUGAAAUACCACCCUUUAAUGUUUGAUGUUCUAACGUUGACCCGUGAUCCGGGUUGCGGACAGUGUCUGGUGGGUAGUUUGACUGGGGCGGUCUCCUCCUAAAGAGUAACGGAGGAGCACGAAGGUUGGCUAAUCCUGGUCGGACAUCAGGAGGUUAGUGCAAUGGCAUAAGCCAGCUUGACUGCGAGCGUGACGGCGCGAGCAGGUGCGAAAGCAGGUCAUAGUGAUCCGGUGGUUCUGAAUGGAAGGGCCAUCGCUCAACGGAUAAAAGGUACUCCGGGGAUAACAGGCUGAUACCGCCCAAGAGUUCAUAUCGACGGCGGUGUUUGGCACCUCGAUGUCGGCUCAUCACAUCCUGGGGCUGAAGUAGGUCCCAAGGGUAUGGCUGUUCGCCAUUUAAAGUGGUACGCGAGCUGGGUUUAGAACGUCGUGAGACAGUUCGGUCCCUAUCUGCCGUGGGCGCUGGAGAACUGAGGGGGGCUGCUCCUAGUACGAGAGGACCGGAGUGGACGCAUCACUGGUGUUCGGGUUGUCAUGCCAAUGGCACUGCCCGGUAGCUAAAUGCGGAAGAGAUAAGUGCUGAAAGCAUCUAAGCACGAAACUUGCCCCGAGAUGAGUUCUCCCUGACUCCUUGAGAGUCCUGAAGGAACGUUGAAGACGACGACGUUGAUAGGCCGGGUGUGUAAGCGCAGCGAUGCGUUGAGCUAACCGGUACUAAUGAACCGUGAGGCUUAACCUU
rnacentral:rRNA from 1 species